rnacentral:rRNA from 1 species
GACGGGGGGUCCAAGCGUUGUUCGGAAUCAUUGGGCGUAAAGCGUGUGCAGGUUGUUUUUCAAGUUAGAUGUGAAAGCCUUGGGCUCAACCCAAGAAGGGCAUUUAAAACUGUUAAACUUGAGUAUAGAAGAGGGUCGUGGAAUUCCAGGUGUAGUGGUGAAAUACGUAGAUAUCUGGAGGAACACCGGUGGCGAAGGCGGCGACCUGGUCUAAUACUGACACUCAUACACGAAAGCGUGGGGAUCAAACAGG